rnacentral:tRNA from 1 species
GAGCCCGUAGCUCAGCCUGGUAGAGCACUUCCCUUUUAAGGAAGGUGUCGAUGGUUCGAAUCCAUCCGGGCUCA